rnacentral:rRNA from 1 species
CUACGGGAUGCUCCAGUGGGGAAUAUUGCACAAUGGGCGCAAGCCUGAUGCAGCCAUGCCGCGUGUAUGAAGAAGGCCUUCGGGUUGUAAAGUACUUUCAGCGGGGAGGAAGGGAGUAAAGUUAAUACCUUUGCUCAUUGACGUUACCCGCAGAAGAAGCACCGGCUAACUCCGUGCCAGCAGCCGCAGUAAUACGGAGGGUGCAAGCGUUAAUCGGAGUUACUGGGCGUAAAGCGCACGCAGGCGGUUUGUUAAGUCAGAUGUGAAAUCCCCGGGCUCAACCUGGGAACUGCAUCUGAUACUGGCAAGCUUGAGUCUCGUAGAGGGGGGUAGAAUUCCAGGUGUAGCGGUGAAAUGCGUAGAGAUCUGGAGGAAUACCGGUGGCGAAGGCGGCCCCCUGGACGAAGACUGACGCUCAGGUGCGAAAGCGUGGGGAGCAAACAGGAUUAGAUACCCCGGUAGUC